rnacentral:lncRNA from 10 species
GACCGGAUGUAGUCCUGGAUGAUGGUCUUCCACUUCCGCCGGCACAGCCAGCCCCGCAGGAAGCUCUGCACCUGAGCAGCAAGACCGGUGGGGAGAGGCUCCUGUCAGGGAGUCUGGACCACUCCUGUCCUUCCAGGCUGUGAGCUCCCCAAGGUACCACCACGUCCUAAGUUUGGAGUCUGGAAGAACUGCAUCUGGGAGCUGCUUUCCCUGCCUGUCAUGUGGCUCCCCAAUCCUGCAGGAGCCCAGGGUUUGAGAUGUUGUGCCUAGGGCCUGGGCCCACCCCCCAGCCCGCAGUCACCUCUGCCUUCAGCCGCUCGAUCUCGAUCUCCCCAUCCUCGAUCUGCUGCCGAAGCUGCUUGGCCACGGUCUUCUCUGUCUCCACGAUCUGCAGCAGGUGUUGAAUGGGAGACAUUCCUGGGAGGCCAGUGGGCUGACCCAGACCCCAGGGCUUGACAAAGGAAGAAGGCAAACAAUCAGCAUGUCCCAUCAUUCCACCAUUGUCCCAUUGACACGUGCUGCUGGCUUCCAAAAGGAUGAUGCAUAUGGAGAGGUUUUUGUUCACAGGUAGGUGGUAUUGAUCACCAGCUGCUCCUUUAUUGAGGAGGAAGGCUUCUAGUUUGUGUUGAAUCUGCAUUACCUGGCAGUUGCAGAGCCCUAAGCUGGGAGCCAGGAUCUGGGACUCCACCACCCCCGCUCAGGCACCCAUGUCCUGUGUGACAUUGGGUCACACGUCUGUCAAAUGGGCUGAAGGGACCCCUCCCUGGGUUAUCAUAAGCACAUGAUGAACUGUGAGAGCUGGACAGACUGUAGAGCAGACAGACACCCUCAGAUGCAGAACAUUCUGUCAGGCUCUGGAGGCCCAGACAGGCUUGGCAACAUUGAU